rnacentral:rRNA from 1 species
GACAGAGGAUGCAAGCGUUAUCCGGAAUGAUUGGGCGUAAAGCGUCUGUAGGUGGCUUUUAAGUCCGCCGUCAAAUCCCAGGGCUCAACCCUGGACAGGGCGGUGGAAACUACCAAGCUGGAGUGACGGUAGGGGCAGGAGGGAAUUUCCGGUGGAGCGGUGAAAUGCGUAGAGAUCGGAAAGAACACCAACGGCGGAAAGCA